rnacentral:misc_RNA from 1 species
CAGAACUAGAGAUUCACAGGGAUAGGAAAAAAUUUGAAUUAAAAAUAUGCUUUCAAAAACCACAUCAAUGUAAAUACAUCUCCUUUUUUUCACCUUAAGUAGAACAGAAUAUAUUCCAAAAGCUACACAGUUAAAUACUUUUUAUGCUCCAUUUCAAAACUCCAAUAAAUAUUGAGAUGGAACUAAAGAGUAAGGUAAAGCAUGAUAAGUUCACCUUCACCUGUUCACGCUGCCACUAUCCUUUAGUAAAUGAAUCCCCCCACACAGCUUUUGAUUGCACCAUUGUAUAUUAUUUAGGGCCUUUUAGUAUCUAUGCUGUUCUUGGUUGUAGUCAUCCAAUAGUAAAAAAUUGUAUUUAUGGGGGAAAGGUUGAUAAAAACAAGUUAAAAAUAAAUUGAGGUUUUCACUUGCUGUAAUAUUUUUCCCUUUUAUACAUAAAGUCAAAUGCAAACAUAUUUUAAUAAUAUAUCUUGUAAACAACAGUAACUAAAAAACAAAUAUAGUAUGAAUUCCAAAUAGGCCCUUAUGACCCAGCAGUCAAAAGAUAAAUGGCCAAAUGAACAUUUGAGGCUUUUUCUCCUUUUUCUGACAUAAUAAUUUGAACGCCUGCAUAGAUACCAAAACUUCAUCAUUUUAAACACCCAUAUCCUAUAGUGUAGUAAUAAUUAAUAAGCCUCUAUAUGUACCAUUUGGUUACCAAGAAUGAAAGAGUGGCAAUAGGAAUAAAGUCUCAGCGCCAUUCCCAGUUUCUAAUAUCUAAAUAUAAAGUAAUAAAAAGGCCUAUUUCAUCUCAUUUCUUCAUUCUUUGAUUCUAAUUCCUGGUCUUUCAUUUCCAGUGACCAAACAGCACUUAAAUGCUUUACACUCAUUCAAAAGAAAUAUCAUGCAAAAAACUUCAAAUUUAUGUAGUUAUUUGUGGAAUGAAUUCUAUAGUGCAUGAUAUUUGUGAGGCAUACAAGCAGUGGGGAGAGGAUGUACAAGAGACAGGAUAAAAAGAGAGGUCAACUGAGUGGAAGGGGGUCACAUG